UUGGAGAGCACAACCAUUCCAUUUCGCCUGGGGGAAACCCCCUCAGAAGGCAGGUGCUCAGUCAGCCCUAACUUGCCCAAUAGCUCGUAAGACGCACGGAACAGGCACAGGAGAUACAGUGAAAGAGUCAUCACCCCGGAGGCUGUUAAGGAUACUAAAUAGUCAACGACUGACAGGUAAAGUACUGUCAUUGAUUAGAAACUGGCUAACAGGCAGAAAGUGAAGUGUAGAAAUACAAACUGAUGCUAAAUUUUCAUCAUGGCAAAAGUUUAACAGUGAGGUGCUCUGAGGUUCCAUACCAGGACCAGUGUUAGUUAAUAUAUUUAUAAAUUAUCUGGGAAAAGAGUAAACACAGUGAAGUAGCAAAAUUUGCAGACUUGCCAGAUGAGAGGGAACAUGAUAGAGGUAUAAUAAAAAGCAUAGAGAAGGUAAAUUCAUCAUAAGCUGCUAUUGAGUAAGGUGACUUCUGUUGGUUUCUUGGCUUAGAUAAGUACCUAGACUGCCAGCCACCUUAAGUCUAGGCACAUUUUACAGGUAGGGAGCUGAGAUAGAGAGAGGCUAAGUAACUUGCCGAAAAAUCAUACAGGAAGUUUAUGAGAGAGCAGGGCCUUGAACCUAGGGCACCUACAUCUUAGGCCUGUGCAUAAACCUCUCAUCCAUCCUUCUUCUCCAGAAUGUAAGUUGUGCACUGCUAUUUAACCUUUAUUAUAAAACAAGUACAAAUAAAUUGAAAUGCAGCACAUUUAGAAUUAUUUUUACAUAACAUAAUUAACUUGUGGAACUCAUUGUCAAAGUAUAUAACUGAGGCCUAGGUCUUAGCAGGAUUAAAAAACUAAUUUGAUAUUUAUAUAGUUAAUGAGAACAUUCAUAGUUACAUUACUGUGUGACCCUAACAACUCUUUAGUGCCACUGGCAAAGGGUUCGCUAUUCUGUAACAGCAACUCCUGUCAGACCUGACAAACUCACUACAUCUAGCACAUUGCUUUCAUAGUAUUUAUCCAUAAAGAAUGUCAUGGAAGGUCUUCAAUAAAAGCCAGGGUCACACUGGUCAUUAAUACUGUUGUAUGUGGGCAAGUAUGUAUGGAUAGCUAGAAAAUAUGUUCCCUAAAAGUCUGAAUCAAAGCAGAGUUGACAAACAGGCUGCUGCCAAAGGAUGUCUAUUCACUUGUGUACCUAGGUUCACAUGUAAAUUAAGCAUUUUAAGCCAACAUAAUAGAAGCACCAUUUAUGUACAAAAUCAACAAAAGGGUGUAAGGUCAACAGGUGACAAGACCCAGGAGAAUGUACCACAGGGGAUUGUCCUGUCUCUGGAGGAGACAAUAAACUCGGGGAAAUGUGGCCCCUCUCCCAUGGGAGAACUAGAGCAUCCCCUAACAAGCGUUUUCUGAAGCCAGCUCUGGAGCAAUAGAGUGGGCAUUUCCUGUUCAGGUAAGUAGCCAACAGGCCUCUUAUUGGGAUUUCCCAGUGAUUCAGUAUGUAGUGGAGUACUGCCAGGUUCAUUUCCCAUUUGUAGUCGUGAGAACUUGUGGCUGAGACUGUAUGGUGUUAUAUUCUGUACUCUCAGCAGGUAAACAGCUGAUAUGAGAACAUUGUGGUGAACGCAACAGUUCUAUAGCUUUAGUACUUCGGUGCACAGGAAGGAUGAUCUGGCAUCCCCUUGAUGAUUUAUGUAAAACAUGCACACUAUGAUUUUUGUGUGCGUGUCCCUGAUCAGUGGAAUAAAGUGAGCACAAGCAUUUCUGACCGUUUGACCGUUCUUAGUUCCAGGAGGUUGAUGUGGAGAGUCGACUCCAUUGGGGACCAUUUGCCCUGAACUUUUGGUUAUUCAGAUGGGCUCCCCAGCCUAUUAGGGAUACGUCCAUGUUUUUUUUGGGGGGGGGCAAUUGUGUGAAAGGGACCCCCAUGCAGACGUUCAUAGGGUCUUUCCACCAUUCCAGGGAAUGUUUGACCCUAAAGGACAUCGACAGGGGUUUGCCUAGUCUAUCUUUGGUGUGUAGACAGACCUGAGCCAUGCCUGUAGGCACCUCAUGUGUAGUCUGGCAUGAGAUAUCACAAACGUGCAUGCCACCAUGUGCCAGAGAAGUUGGAGGCAACGUCUGGCUGGUGUUUGUGGGCUGCCCUGAAAUGUCUAUGAGAGUGGUCAGGAUGUGAAAUCUGUGUUGUGAGAGGAGUGUUUACGCUUGUAUUGAGUCAAGAUCAGCUCCUAUGAACUCCAAGUGGUGUAGUGGAGUCAAGGUCGAUUUUGGGGAAUUGAUUAGCAAACUCAAAUGCAUGAAUACAUCUUUGGGUGUCCCAAAGAGCUUCUUCGAAGGAAUGGACUCUGAGGAGACAGUCGUCCAAGUAAGGGUAAAUCAUGAUCCUUAGGCUCUGUAGAUGAGCCAUGACUACAGAGAGGAACUUGGAGAAUACUUUGGGUGCGAAUGAGAGUCCGAAGGGAAGGUACUCUGUACUGGUAAUAGUCCUGACUGAGUCCUGAGGAAUCAUUUGUGGGAUGGCUGGAUUGAUAUAUGGAAGUAGACAUCCUACAGGUCGAGGACCAAAAACCAAUCUCCCUGCACUAGAAAUUGGAUAAUAGCUGAAAGUGUGACCAUCUUCAAUUUUUGUGCCUUCACAAAUUUGUUCAGUGCUCUUAGAUCUAAUAUGGGUCUCCACCCUUCUUUAUUUUUGGGGAUCAGGAACUAUCUGGAAUAGAAGCCUUUGCCUCUGAGCUGCACAGAAGUGGGUUCUAUGGUUCCUAGGAGUAGCAGGUGAUCUAUUUCCUAUGUUAACAGUCUCUCGUAAGAAGGGUCCCUGAAGAGGGACAGGGAGGGAGGGUAGAGAGGAGAGAGAGAGAGGUGAAGUGGAGAAAAUACCCAUUGGAGAUAAUCUCUAAGAUCCAUCUGUCAGAAGUCACGUUCUUCCAAUUUUGGAAGAAAAGAGUGAGGUGGCAUCCAAAGGUCUGUAGGUUACAGCUGAUGUUAUGGGGAGUGGUCUCUGAGGCCUUUGACCAAGGUGUCAAAAUUGGUGUUUCGAGGUCAAGAGCUGGGAUGUUGAGGAUUGAGGGGCUGAUGGUUUACGUUUUUGAAUCUUAGGCCUCUUUCGCUGUGGCUCAUAGUACCGUUGCGGUGGUGGGUACUGGGGUGGUUGGGAUCUAUGGGAUGACUGAGGACUGAAUUUUCUUUUCUGUCCCAGUAUGUAGAUCCGCAGCAAAUGUAGUGUGGCUCUGGAGUCCUUAAAGGUAUGAAGUGAUGCAUUGAUAUUGUCUGCAAACAGUUUGGAGCCCUCGAAAGGGAGGUCCUCGACCGUCAUCUGUACCUCCUUUGGCAGUCCUGAGAGGUGUAACCACGAUGCCCAACGCACCGCUACUGCCAUCGAUACCGAAUCAGCCGCUGUAUCCGUGGUAUCUAGUGCUGUCUGGAGAGCUGUUUUCACUACUAACUGUUCCUCAUGUAUGAUAAUCUGAAACUGUUCCCAUUGUGUUUCUGGCAGGUGGUCAAUAAAUGCAUUAAAUUUGG